GGGGCUAUAGCUCAGUGGCACAGUGCUUGCCUAGGAUGUAUGAGGCACUGGGUUCAAUCCUUAGCACCA
rnacentral:tRNA from 1 species